rnacentral:snRNA from 1 species
GUGCUCGCUUCAGCAGCACGUAUAUUAAAAUUGGAAAAAUACAGAGAUUAGUAUGACCCCUGUGCAAAGAUGACAUGCAAUUUCUUGAAGCAUUCCAUAUUUUA